rnacentral:rRNA from 1 species
GCUAUGUGUGUGUGACUCACAGUGCGCCCCCGUUAGUUAAACUGAUGGAGCAACGCCGCGUGAGUGAAGAAGGUUUUCGGAUCGUAAAACUCUGUUGUAAGGGAAGAACAAGUACAGUAGUAACUGGCUGUACCUUGACGGUACCUUAUUAGAAAGCCACGGCUAACUACGUGCCAGCAGCCGCGGUAAUUA